rnacentral:ncRNA from 1 species
UUCAAGGGGUGUCUGCUUUUGCAGGCUGAGAUGAUACCCUCUAACCUGAUCCGGAUCAUACCGGCGUAGGGAUGGAAUAAA